GGAUGUGAGGGUGAUCUGACUGAGACAUCUGUUACACUGUUGAUCACUGCCAAGAUUGAGCUGCUUAUCUGGAUCAUUAGGUGGGUGUAUCCUUACCUCCUCACCACUCCAGGUGAUUUCAUCCCUCCUGAAGUUGCUUCAUCAAAGAGGACAACCUUCCAUGGAAAGAGAAGAACCUGUCUUCAGUCAAGGGUGUAGGAGUAGAUGUACUCCCUACUAGAACCUCCAAACAAUGUCUCAAAAAAUUCAUAUUUUAAAGAGUAUCUAAUUAACAACAAUCAUAAUCCUAAAUGUUAUGUUUUUCAAAAAAUAAAACAUUGCAA
rfam:Rattus norvegicus chromosome 7, whole genome shotgun sequence.